CAGAAGAAGCACCGGCUAACUCCGUGCCAGCAGCCGCGGUAAUACGGAGGGUGCGAGCGUUAAUCGGAAUUACUGGGCGUAAAGCGCACGCAGGCGGUUUGUUAAGCUAGAUGUGAAAGCCCCGCGCUUAACGUGGGAUGGUCAUUUAGAACUGGCAGACUAGAGUCUUGGAGAGGGGAGUGGAAUUUCUGGUGUAGCGGUGAAAUGCGUAGAGAUCAGAAGGAACAUCAAUGGCGAAGGCAGCUCUCUGGCCAAAGACUGACGCUCAUGUGCGAAAGUGUGGGUAGCGAACAGGAUUAGAUACCCUGGUAGUCCACACCGUAAACGCUGUCUACUAGCUGUGUGUGUAUUUAAUACGUGUGUAGCGAAGCUAACGCGCUAAGUAGACCGCCUGGGGAGUACGGUCGCAAGAUUAAAACUCAAAUGAAUUGACGGGG
rnacentral:rRNA from 1 species